rnacentral:tRNA from 1 species
UCAGAGGUAGUGGCAAGGGCAACACGCUCGGCUGUUAACCGAUGAGAUGUGGGUUCGAAUCCCGCCCUCUGAGCCA